rnacentral:misc_RNA from 1 species
UACGGAGGGUGCAAGCGUUGUCCGGAUUUAUUGGGCUUAAAGGGUGCGUAGGCGGGUCAUUAAGUCAGUGGUGAAAGCCGGCAGCUCAACUGUCGAACUGCCAUUGAAACUGGUGACCUUGAAUAUAGUUGAGGCAGGCGGAAUUUACGAUGUAGCGGUGAAAUGCAUAGAUAUCGUAAAGAACACCUAUAGCGAAGGCAGCUUGCUAAACUAUAACUGACGCUGAGGCACGAAAGCAUGGGGAGCGAACAGG